rnacentral:rRNA from 1 species
AUUGAACGCUGGCGGCAGGCCUAACACAUGCAAGUCGAACGAGUGGCGGACGGGUGAGUAAUGUCUGGGAAACUGCCCGAUGGAGGGGGAUAACUACUGGAAACGGUAGCUAAUACCGCAUACCAUCGGAUGUGCCCAGAUGGGAUUAGCUAGUAGGUGGGGUAACGGGUCACCUAGGCGACGAUCCCUAGCUGGUCUGUGAGGAUGACCAGCCACACUGGAACUGGGACACGGUCCAGACUCCUAAGGGAGGCAGGAUUGGGGAAUAUUGCACAAUGGGCGGAAGCCUGAUGCAGCCAUGCCGCGUGUGUUAAGAAGGCCUUCGGGUUGUAAAGUACUUUCAGCGAGGAGGCGUUACUCGCAGAAGAAGCACCGGCUAACUCCGUGCCAGCCGCCGCGGUAAUUC